GCGGUAGCAAAGCUUGUGUGUGCUGCUGAUGAGGCUGCUCGCUCGGGACCCAACGGUUGCAUGCCUCUGCCCGGCCGAGAAGUGAGGCCGGCGGCUGCUAGGAGGCAGUGGCGGCGAAGGAGGGGAAGGGCAGCCGGAGACAGACCGGGCGCCGCCCUCGGAGGCUGGAGAGACCUGGCUUCGUGGGGGUCGCAGCUCGGCCGCAGGCGGGAAUCAUGGCAUCGCUGGUCGACCGAGUGCGGGGCAACGGGCGCAUCGUCGCCGGGCUCCUGCUCAAUCUGCUGGUGUCCAUCUGCAUCGUGUUCCUCAACAAAUGGAUCUAUGUGCACCACGGAUUCCCCAACAUGAGCCUGACCCUGGUGCACUUCGUGGUCACUUGGCUGGGCUUGUAUAUCUGCCAGAAGCUGAACAUCUUUGCCCCCAAGAGUCUGCCACCCUCCAAGCUCCUCCUCCUGGCCCUCAGCUUCUGUGGCUUCGUGGUCUUCACCAACCUCUCUUUGCAGAACAACACUAUAGGCACCUAUCAGCUGGCCAAGGCCAUGACCACGCCGGUGAUCAUAGCCAUCCAGACCCUCUGGUACAAGAAAACCUUCUCCACCAGAAUACAGCUUACGUUGAUUCCUAUAACUUCAGGUGUAAUCCUAAAUUCUUAUUACGAUGUGAAGUUUAAUUUCCUUGGAAUGGUGUUUGCUGCUCUUGGUGUUUUAGUUACAUCGCUUUAUCAAGUGUGGGUAGGAGCCAAACAGCAUGAAUUGCAAGUAAACUCAAUGCAGCUGCUGUACUACCAGGCACCUAUGUCGUCCGCCAUGUUGCUGUUGGCUGUGCCCUUCUUUGAGCCAGUGUUUGGAGAAGGAGGAAUAUUUGGUCCCUGGUCAAUUUCUGCUUUGGUUAUGGUGCUGCUAUCUGGAGUAAUAGCUUUCAUGGUGAACUUAUCGAUUUACUGGAUCAUUGGGAACACUUCACCAGUCACGUAUCCUUUCCAUAAUCACUUACAAAUGCAUAGUCUUUUAUGUUUUCCAAAAUAGUCACAUUCACUACGUUAUUCUAGCCUCACAUUAACUACAGCAUGGCCUAAUUGAGUACAGAGGGUUAUUUUUAGUCUUUUAUUAUGUCUUUCCACAGUAAAGUCCGGAAAUUUACAGAAGUAUGAACUGGGGAAAUGGGCUAGCUUUCUGUACCAUGAAUGUUUUUUAAUUUUUUUAAAUAAUAGAUCACUUUUUUCUUAUAAACAUUAACAUAGAGCUCCAUUCCUUGCACAUAGUAGGGCCAAACAAGUAUUUGUUCAAUGAGUAAAUGAAUGGUGGGAUGGAGGGUUGGGUUUUCAGUUAUCUACAGUGAUAAAGUAGAAGUAUCAUUAAUUCACAUUACAAAAGAUAGUUUCAAACCAUUGGCAUCUGACUCUGGAGUAUGUUUUCGUACUUAUCUGGAGAUGGGUGUGCCUGUUUUUCUGAAUGUUAGUUUAAGAAAAUAAAUCAUACUUGAAGGUCUAAGUCCAACUCAUCUGCCCAUUUCCACCCUUCUGCUGUCAUUCAGUUUCUUGUAGUAUUUCACUCUGCCACCACUCUUAGGCGGAUACAAAGAAUGAAUUUCCCCAGAUCAGAGAGGUAGUUUACUAACAUUAUAUCAGAAUGUGCCAAUUUUUAUAAAAGAUUGAGUACUGAGAUGUCAACAAAUAAGCGGUAUUAGUUGCCAGAUACCAAGAAACAGCAACAACAAUGCAGCUGUGUGAGGUGAAUUCUGUCAUUUUUUUUACGGAGGAGGAAAUGGAGACAGAGAGAGAUUGAACAGCUCACCUGAGGUCACACCGUUGAGAAGUGUGGUGUCCAGAUUUGAGCCCAGGCCGUCCAGUUCCAGAACUUGUACAGCACACUGCCAGAUCAAGGCAUGCAAGGAUGUGCCUCGAUUAAGAAUACAUUCAUUCAUUCAUUCAGCAAAUAUUUUUUAAAUACCCACUAUAAACCAUUUAAGGAGCCCUGGUGGCACAGUGGUCAAGCUUUCAGCUGCUAACUGAUAGGUCAGCGGUUCAAACCCACCAGCCGCUCUGUGGGAGAAAGAUGUGGCAAUCUGCUUCCAUAAAGAUUUAUAACCUUUGAAACCCUAUGAUGCACUUCUGCUCUGGCUAUGAGUAGGGUUGCUAUGAGUAGGAAUCAAACCGAUGGCAGUGGGUUUUUUGGUUGUAAAUUAUUAAUUGAUUUAAUAAAUAUUUAUUUACUGAACAUCUGCUAUAUGUCAGGCAUUUCAGGCACAGUAGACAACCAAAUACACGCAAGUCUUUGUACUCACAGGCUUAAAUUCUGGUAAGGAAGACAGACUACAAGUGGGGGAAGGGGAUGUAUGUAUAAAACAUUAGAUAGUGGUAAGUGCCAAAGAGAAAAAAUAAAGCAGUGAGGGGAUAUGAACUGUUGAGGGCAGGGUUGAAGUUUUAGUUCAGGUAGCCAGGAAGUUCUCACUGAGAAGGUGACUUUUGAGUAAAGAUCCGAAGGAAGUAAGGUUGCUACAUGCCAGACAGAGGGAACAGCAGGUGAGACGCCCUGGGGAACAAGGAAGCCUGUGCAGGGUGAGCAAAGGGGGGUCUCUGAGAGGUAACAGGGAGACAGAUUGAGUAGGGUUCUUAUAUGAGGUCUGUUACUCUGAGUGAGAUGGGAAGCCAUUGGAGUUUCGAGCAGAGAAGUGACAUGAUUUUACUUCUGUUUUAAUAGGAUCACCCUGGCUACUGUGUUGAGAAUACACCAAAGCAGGGUUUUUCAACCUCAGCACUGUUGACUUUUUGGGCUGGACAGUCUUUCUUGUGAAGGCCUGUCUUGUGUAUUGUAAGAUGUGUAGCAGCAUCCCUGGCCUCUACCCACAAGAUGCCAGUAGCUCCCUCUUUCCCCCUUCAUAGUAACCAAAAAUGUCUACAUUGCCUAGGGGGUAAAAUCAUCCUUUAUUGAGAACCAUUGGACUAAAAGAGGCAAGGGAAGAAGAGUGACAAUUACAAGGCUAUUGUAGUAUUCUAAUGGAGAAAAAAAUGGUGGUUACCUGUGCGGUAGCAGUGGAUAUAAGGAGCCCUAGUGGUGCAAUGGUUAAGCACUAGGCUGCUGACCGAGAAGUCAACAGUUUGAGCUCACCAGCAGCUCCAUGGGAGAAAGCUCGGGCGAUCCGCUUUUACAAAGAUUACAGUCUAGGAAACCCUAUGGAGCAGUUCUACUCUGUCCUGUAGGGUCGCUGUGAGUUGGAAUUGACUCGAUGGCACCUAACAACAACAGCGGUGGGUAUACUCCGAAGUGAUUGGAUUCUGGAUAUAUUUCAAGUAGAGUCACAAAUUGGAUGUGGAGAAUGAGAGGAGACGUGUUUACAAGAAUUUUGGCCUGAGCACCUGGUGGAAUGGAGUUGCCAUCCACUGAGAUAGGGCAGACUGAAGGAGGUUUGGUGCAGGGGAACAAGGCCAGGGGCUCAGUUUUGGACAUGUUAAGUAUGAGUGGUCUGUUUGACAUUUAGGUGGGGGUGUGAGGAGUCACUUAGGAUAAACAAGUCUGGGAGUUCAGGGGGUGGAAAUAUUCCAGAGGGAGUCAGUAGUGGUUUACAGCAGUGAGACUCAGAUUACCAAGCAAGUAAGUAGAAGAAAAGAUAUCCAAAGAUUGAAUCCUGGGUUACUUCACUGGUUAGAGUUCAGAGAGAUGAGGAGGAACUAGGCAGAAGACUAAGGGGAACAAUCAGAGGUAGAAGAAGAGUGGUGGUGAAACCAAGUGACGAAAGUGUUUCAGAGGGGAAGGUGUAAUCAACUGUCAAAUGCCUCUGACAGGUCAAGUACAAGGAUGACUGAUAAUCAAUGCUGAGAUUUAGUAAAGUGGAAGUCACUGAUGAUUUUGACAAGAACAGUCCUGGGGGUAGGAAGCAAAAGCCUAACUAGAACGGAGUGGAGAACUACAGGAGAGGAAUUGGAAAUACCAAGUGCGCCCAUGGGCUGCUUAGCUGCCCAGCUCAGAACAGAGGAAAGACCUGGGCUUUGCAGUCAGACAGAUCCAGGUGUGAAUUCCCAUCUCUGACAGUACUUGUGGGCCUGAGCAAGUCAUGGGAGCUCUCGGGUCACUCAGGAUCACUUAUAAUAUGAAGAAAAUAAUACCUACCAUGCUGGGCUUUUGUGAGGAUUUGAAAGAAUACAUGUCAAGCACCUUAAAAGACCAAUGAAACCAAACCUGUUGCCGUUGAGUUGAUUCCAACUCCUAGUGACCCUAAGGGAUAGAGUAGAACUGCCCCACAGGGCUUCCAAGACUGUGAUCUUUACGAAA